UACGAGUGCCUCGAGCGUUAUCCGGCAUUAUUGGGCGUAAAGGGUGUGUAGGCGGUUGUGUUUGUCUUGUGUUAAAUCUACCGGCUCAACCGGUAGGCUGCAUGGGAAACGGCACGACUUAGAGGAUGGAAGGGGUCUGCGGAACUCAUGGUGUAGCGGUGAAAUGCGUUGAUAUCAUGGGGAACACCAAAAGCGAAGGCAGCAGACUGGUCCACUCCUGACGCUGAAACACGAAAGCGUGGGUCGCGAAUGGU
rnacentral:rRNA from 1 species